UCCCAAAAAGUUAUAUAAAUUAGCCAUGAGGCGGUGGCAAAAACACAAUGAAAUCACCAACAAACAAACCCAUUUCCAAGUUGCAACUGAAGAAACUUGUAAUCAAAGAUGUCAAAGAUGGAGGUAAGAAUUGUAUCAAAGGAAGUUGUAAAGCCAUCUUUCCUUGAAAUCACAGAAGCCAAACCUCAACACAAGCUCUGCCUUUUCGACCAGCUCACUCCCUUAACAUUCUUCCCCAUCAUCCACUUUUACCCAUACAAUGAUCACCACCACUCCAGCAAUAUCAUCAUUGCUCACCUGAAACGCUCGCUUCAAAACUCUGGACAUCUACUAUCCUUUCUCAGGCAGGACCGACUCUUCGAAUUUGUUCGUCCACAGCUUCAACAGAGGUCUCCCUUUCACUCACGCCCAAGUCAAUUCCAGCAUUUCCCGUUUCCUGAAACUCCACCAGCAGAACAACGAGCUUCUCAACCUCUUCCUCCCCCGUCAGCCGUUCCAGAAGGAAGAACCCGAAGAUGAGGAUUACCCUAUUAUGGAGCUUCAACUCUCUGUUUUCUCGUGCGGCGGAAUCGCCUUGGGUUGGACUUCUUCCCACAAGUUGAUCGAUGGAUCCACUCUGCAUUUUCCCGCGGUUUCCCAAACGAUGUCGUUUCUCCCAACUUCACCCUCGCGGCUGAGCUCUUCCCUCCGAGAAACCCUCCCCCUGAAAGAUUCGUCAAAUUCAUGGAGGCUCUUUGGUUUACCGAAGCAAAUUACGUCACCAGACGAUUCGUUUUCUCUCCAUCUUCAAUUUCUCGGAUUAAAUCCAUGGUUCCGAUUAAGCUGUCCAGAGUGAAUGAAUGCCCUGUCCUGCUUUAUAUGGCAACGCGCCAUGGCAGCAUCGUCGGUUGUCUCCUCCGCCGUCACCGGCGAGAGGACGUCAGUUCUGGUGGAGGCGGUGAUUCAUAUUCUUACAAGUCCUUCUGGAUAUGGGCAUAUCGCUAGUGGCUGGGUACGAGUAGUUACCUAACAAAAUGUGCAUAGUUCAGAGUGAUUGAACUCCGAACCUAAAGUCAACUGGUUUGACCGGGACUGAGAGGUACUGCUCCAACAACAAAAUAAGACUUCCUGUUCGUCAUAUCUUACAACCUUCAACUAUUGAUACCUCCCCGGUCAUUCCUACCACAAAACGUGAGCUUUCCAUCAUCUUUUACCCAUCUUAUCAUUCAACAGACCCAUGACGAAAUAAGAGCAGUGGCAACAUUAGUGUACUAUAGAUCAACAUCAAUUGCAGAUGCAAUACACUAACUGCAAGUCUGUAACAACCAAUUUGCGUUUAUGCUUAUUCAUGGCCCUAACCGGCCUAGCCAUCCCUUGCGAACAAAAGAUGAAUACAUUAUCAAUACAAUAAAUUAUAUGAGUACGCCUACCGGAUAGGGGUAGGCACAAACCGGUUUGAAACCACACCGAACCGCAAAAAAUUUAAUCAGCAGCGCACCGAACCGUGCGCAUUGCGGUUUCAUAUGCAGUGCGGUUUUAUUCCAAUUAGUAGGUCGUGGUUCGGUGCGGUUUUAAACAAUAAACUGAAAAUAAAAGCUCUUCUAUGAAAGUAUUAGUUUAUUGAGACUAUUUACAAGUACCUACCUCUUUUUUCUUUGUUUCUACAACUACUAUAAUGAGUUGAACAUACGUUUAUGACGAUCGAGACAAUCUAUCGAAAUAAGACUUUCAAAAAAACGAAACAAACCCAAAAACCUGAUGGAUUAGUUACCUAGCCGACCAAUUGAUCACAAGGUCGAAGGGAGGGCUAAUUCUCACAAAGUUGAAGGUGCCACGAAGAGGGGGCGAUAACCCGACUACGAUAAACCGAAUCCGCUAUUCUAGCAACAAUGUGCUAAACAUAAAACGAAUGCAAAACAGCUCUAGGCUGACAUUGCUUUGAUUAAUUCAAGGGGGUAUGAUAAACUAUUGUGGCUGCAUCUUCUUUAUAUAGGAGAGGGAGGCCAAAGAAUUACAUGGAAAAUAAGUAGAC
rnacentral:lncRNA from 1 species